UGAGGUAGUAGGUUAUAUUGUUUUUCGGCAGUGAUUUUGCCGCGUUUUUGGAGAUAACUCUAUAACCUACUGCCUUCC
rnacentral:pre_miRNA from 1 species